ACAAUUCAUCAUUUGCAAAAGCUUGCGCGCAUUUAUGUUCAUUCCAUGAAAAUCUCUCCAGCUUUAUUCGGGAACAAACGUAAUUUUCCCGUAAUUUCAUUUGUAUAUAAAGUAGUCCGUCAGGUAUCGGUGUGUCUCGUAGGUGAAAUAAUAUGUUGUCAUUUUCAAAAAUGCUAAAAUUGAUCUAACUCACUUUAUUUUCCAUCAUUAUAAUCAACAUGUGAAGUUUGUUCCCUCACACGGUGGCUUCCCCCGCCACCCAACCCAAACAGCAACACUUGGCGCCAAACUACUCAGAACAUUAUUUCGUUUUAUUUAUACUUCAAGCUCACAUUUCAAAUAACUCCUUUUAAUUCUAAAAGCUAAGCUUUUUACAAUCAACAUAUUUCAUUCAAAAUAAUUUCAUUAUUCAGGAUCAACGUAACAUACAUUUAUUAUGUACACUUCACUUGAAACAUUCGUUUUCUGUUAAAUUGUUAUUUUUUGUUACGAUGCCACGAUGGUCUAGUGGUAACAUGCUUGUGACUGUCAAUCCAGAAGUCCGGGGUUCGAAUCCUAGUCGGGGCACUAGAAAUUUCUGAGAUACUCUUUAGUGUCUCCAACCUAACUUAGAGGUCAGUGCUGAUAAUUCCUAGGGAAGACGGCUUCGCAUGUAUAAGUUAAAGAACCAGACAGUCAUUUCGCAAAGAACUAGGCGAAGUUAGCUAGUCAAGCCUAUAAUAUGUAAGUAAACGUUUCUUUCUCUGCUUUGAACAUACAUAUCAUGAAAAGGGCGAUAUAUAAAUCUGGUAAUAGAAUGAUUAUAAUUCUUACAGAAGGAUGAUUUGAAGAGCUUAUUCAAAGUACACCUGCAUUUAGCUGCUUUAGGCGAUGAGGCCUGGGGGAGUGUUCUUGACGUUCUAAAUGCAUACGGACAGGUAAAAAUCAAAGGACAAAAGGCAGGUGAUAUACCGACACAGUAUGUAUGGCGACUUUUCAAAGUUAAAGAAAACAGUACGAAAUCGAAACUAUUAAGUGCUCUUGCUUCUGGAGAAUUAACAGUUGCCCAGUUCAGAAAGAAGUGUACAAGCCUCCAAGUCCCCUUAAAAGACAAAAGAAACUGACAAAGAAAGCCAGUGACGUUAAGGAGCAUGUUCCAGUGAUGGAAGCUAAGACAGAUCAAGACAUAAAUCCAGGUCCAAAGGAGGAUACAUAUUUGAGCUCCCAUGUUCCGUAAAAAGACAAAGGAAUCUGACAAAGAAUGCCAGUGACUCUAAGGUAAGUUUGUAUUUCUAAUUUCAUUUUAUACCUGUAUUAGUAUUGAAAAGACGUUGGGAAAGAGGUAUUAGUAACCCAAUAUUUUAAAAAGAGGAAUUCCCACAAAGACUCCCUUUUAAGUCUAUGAAAAUAAUGAGGUUUGUCGCACAUCUGCACAUAUAUGCUACAGAAAAUGGCAAACCUAGGUCAUUUUUUGUGUGCCCUGCUGUAGUGAUAAAAACUUUUGCGAGUUUGAUUUUUCACCAUAGUUUUCUAUGAUGUUGGAAACUUUGAACAACUGUAUAUAGCCAGAACAGUCACUUGUAUUACGUUAAAUGUUAUGUAUUAAACUAGAAAG